rnacentral:rRNA from 1 species
GCAGUCGAACGGCAGCGCGGGAGCAAUCCUGGUGGCGAGUGGCGAACGGGUGAGUAAUAUAUCGGAACGUGCCCAGUCGUGGGGGAUAACGCAGCGAAAGCUGUGCUAAUACCGCAUACGAUCUCUGGAUGAAAGCGGGGGACUCGUAAGAGCCUCGCGCGAUUGGAGCGGCCGAUAUCAGAUUAGCUAGUUGGUGGGGUAAAGGCCCACCAAGGCGACGAUCUGUAGCUGGUCUGAGAGGACGACCAGCCACACUGGAACUGAGACACGGUCCAGACUCCUACGGGAGGCAGCAGUGGGGAAUUUUGGACAAUGGGCGCAAGCCUGAUCCAGCAAUGCCGCGUGCAGGAUGAAGGCCUUCGGGUUGUAAACUGCUUUUGUACGGAACGAAGAGGUUUGCCUUAAUACGGUGGGCCCAUGACGGUACCGUAAGAAUAAGCACCGGCUAACUACGUGCCAGCAGCCGCGGUAAUACGUACGGUGCGAGCGUUAAUCGGGAUUACUGGGCGUAGAGCGUGCGCAGGCGGUUAUAUAAGACAGAUGUGAAAUCCCCGGGCUCAGCCUGUGACCUGCAUUUGUGACUGUAUAGCUAGAGUACGGUAGAGGGGGGGAUGGGAUUUCCGCGUUGUAGCAGUGAAAUGCGUAGAUAAUGCGGAGGAACCACUGAUGGCGAAGGGCAUCCCCUGAAGCUGUACUGACGCUCAUGCACGCAAGCGUGGGGAGCAAACAGGAUUAGAUACCCUGGUAGUCCACGCCCUAGACGAUGUCAACUUGGUUGAUGGGGUCUUCACUGACUCAGUAACGAAGCUA